UUAUCCGGAUUUAUUGGGUUUAAAGGGAGCGUAGGCGGGUGCUUAAGUCAGUUGUGAAAGUUUGCGGCUCAACCGUAAAAUUGCAGUUGAUACUGGGCGCCUUGAGUGCAGCAUAGGUAGGCGGAAUUCGUGGUGUAGCGGUGAAAUGCUUAGAUAUCACGAAGAACUCCGAUUGCGAAGGCAACUUACUGGACUGUAACUGACGCUGAUGCUCGAAAGUGUGGGUAUCAAACAGGAUUAGAUACCCUGGUAGUCCACACAGUAAACGAUGAAUACUCGCUGUUGGCGAUACACAGUCAGCGGCCAAGCGAAAGCAUUAAGUAUUCCACCUGGGGAGUACGCCGGCAACGGUGAAACUCAAAGGAAUUGACGGGGGCCCGCACAAGCGGAGGAACAUGUGGUUUAAUUCGAUGAUACGCGAGGAACCUUACCCGGGCUUAAAUUGC
rnacentral:rRNA from 1 species